UACGUAGGGUGCGAGCGUUAAUCGGAAUUACUGGGCGUAAAGCGUGCGCAGGCGGUUUUGUAAGUCAGAUGUGAAAUCCCCGGGCUUAACCUGGGAACUGCGUUUGAAACUACAAGGCUAGAGUGUGGCAGAGGGAUGUGGAAUUUCAGGUGUAGCGGUGAAAUGCGUAGAUAUCUGGAGGAACACCGGUGGCGAAGGCGGCAUCCUGGACCGGUAUUGACGCUGAGGCGCGAAAGCCAGGGGAGCAAACGGG
rnacentral:rRNA from 1 species